rnacentral:misc_RNA from 1 species
AAAAAAGAAGACAUGGCUCAUCUUCAAGAAUUGGAAGCUCUCACCAAAGCUCUCUCAGGUUCCUUUUAACUUUAUUUCAUUCUUUGUUUUUUUCUCUUUAGAAAAUAACCAUAUUAAUUCUUUGAUCAUAAAUGUUCAUUUCUUUGCAUAAUUAAGAAUUGAUCUUGCUUCCUUCUUGACAUUCUCUCUUGUUUUCUAAUGAACUAUUCAACUCUCUUGUGGCCACAUUCAUAUCCUGUUAUGUAUUUUUAUUUUCCUCAUUACACAACAAACAACAAUUA